UACGUAGGGGGCUAGCGUUGUCCGGAAUCAUUGGGCGUAAAGCGCGCGUAGGCGGCCAGAUAAGUCCGGUGUGAAAGUCACAGGCUCAACCUGUGAAUGCCGCUGGAAACUGUCUGGCUAGAGUCCGGAAGGGGCGAGUGGAAUUCCUGGUGUAGCAGUGAAAUGCGUAGAUAUGCGGAGGAACACCGAUGGCGAAGGCGGCGACCUGGACAGGUACUGACACUCAACUCCGAAAGCGUGGGGAGCAAACAGG
rnacentral:rRNA from 1 species